rnacentral:rRNA from 1 species
UACGUAGGUGGCAAGCGUUGUCCGGAUUUAUUGGGCGUAAAGCGCGCGUAGGCGGCGCGGUAUGUCGUGCGUGAAAUCUCCCGGCUUAACUGGGAGGGGCCGUGCGAAACUGCCGGGCUUGAGGUCGGAAGGGGAAAGUGGAAUUCCGGGUGUAGUGGUGGAAUACGUAGAUAUCCGGAGGAACACCAGCGGCGAAGGCGGCUUUCUGGUCCGAUACUGACGCUGAGGUGCGAAAGCGUGGGGAGCGAUCCGG